AGGUUCCUUUGUUUCUAAAGCAUUAACAGGAACUGGGGACUGAAAGUGUCUCCCAGGUGUCUCCUCAGCAUUGAACAAUCUCUGAAGUCACUGCCUCCCAGCACUGCUCAGGUUUGCCACAUGGGUAUAUUACCUAAGGCUGCAGUUUAGGCUUCUAAUAUACCCGUCACCCAAGUUGUGAACAUAGUACCCGAUUCUGCUUGAUGUGGAAAAGUGUCCAGGUAAAGAUAGCAAAUUUCUUAUUUCUCUCUUGUUUCUGAGGAUUGUCUUAUUUCUGAUACCAAAGGAAAAACAACGAGGAUUUCUGGGUAAAUUUUUGCUUUUCUGUUAUAGAUACUCUAUAUUGUUUGCUUCUUUUUACUGCUGAAAUCUGGUCAUGAGUUGGAGGUGAAGAGGUACCAUUAAGAUUCUAAUAAUGAAAGUUGCAUGUAAAAAAAUGGUUGGUUAUAAGUUUCUGAUCUUCAAUGACAACCUAAGAUAGCUACAGCAGUCCUGGCCUGACUAGUGUUAGGACUGGUCAGAAAUUCCUUUUGAAAUUUUUAAAUACUUUUAUUGUGCUAUAAUUCAUGUAUCAAUUCUCCCAUUUAAAGUAUGAAGUUCAAUGGUUUUUAGUGUGUUCACAGAUAACAUGCAACCAUAACCAAAGUCAGUUUUAGAAUUUUUUCAUGAGCUCAAAAGGAAAACCUGUGCCCUUUGCCUAUUACUCUCUAUACCCUGCUAUCCCUAAGACACCACUAAUGUAUUUUUGUCUCUGUAGAUUUUCCUACUCUGGACUUUUAUGAAUGAAACCAUUUGAUACAUGGUGUUUUGUGAUAGACUUCUUUGAUUUAGCAAAAUGUUUCCAGGUUGAUCGAUGUGGUAUCAUGUACCAGUACUUCAUUUUCUUAUGGCUGAAAAAAUAUCCCAUUGUAUUGAUAUGCCAUAGUUUGUUUAUCCGUUUAUCAGUUGAUGGGCAUUUGCACUGUUUCCACCUUUUGGCUAUUGUAAGUAAUGCUGCUAUAAAUAUUUAUGUACAAUUUUUGUGUGGAUUUGUGUUUUCAUUUUCCUUGGGUAAAUACCUAGAAGUGGAAUUGCUGAGUUAUGUAGUAAUUAUAUGUUUAAUUUAUUGGGAAAUUUCCAGAUUAUGUCUUGGAAUUAGCUAAACUUCUACAAAAGAAAGUUUCAUAAGUUUAUGACACUUUAAGAUAAUGGCUUGUUGUGUCUUCCCUUUAUGUUUUGAAAAUUCUACCCAAUCUUUGCUCGCUGUAAUAUAUGUAAUGAACUGUUACAUCGAUUUGCAACACAAAUCAUCAUGAAAGUAUGAAUAAUUUAUAUUAUAUGUUUCAUUAUACUACUUUCAAAAGGAAUCCAUUGUAUAACAACUUAAAAAUUUAGAAAGAAAGCAAUCAGGCAUUAUAAAUACAACUCUAAAAUAUUUACUCCCUGGUCUCCUUAAACUGUGUACCUUUCUAUAUUGAUAUACAUUAAUAACAAAGCUUGAUUAUUAAACAUCGUUUCAGAAAAUGUUAGUUGAAUAAGAGAAAUCAUAUAUAUUUAAAUUUACUUCUCAUUGGCUGGUAAAACGAGAUAUUGAAAUGUGGGGCAGUGAGAAGUAACAAAAUGAAAGCAGUUUUGUGUGAGUAAUCUUUGAACAAUUGAGUCACAUUUGGCAUAGACCCACUGAAGGGACUGUUUUAGAAAUGUACUCUGUCUGUGAUUUUAUGGCCAGUCCUUAAGGUAUAGAAUAUAUUCCAUAUUACUUAUUGUCAUAGUGUGCCAAGCUAAUAAAUUAAAAAUUAUUAAUGUUGAAACUUAAAAAAAUGAAAAGAUCUUUGCCAAGUUGAGAGAAGUGGAUUUGGACUUGCCCAAGCACUAAGAAGCAGAAACAUUUAUUAUGUGCUUCCAUCACUUUGUGUGAGGGAUACGUGGUGGUAUGGAUAUAGGCUGUAACUUAUAACAGAUGCCAAAGUAGAAAUAGAUUUGGAAUUUAUAAAAAUCUUACAUUUAAAGGAAAUAUUUUGCUGGUUGUAUUGUAUCAGCAAUUUAAAUAUAUUUCCUAAUACCGUUGUAAGGAGGAAUAUUUUGAAAGUGCUUAAUUCAUGAAAAAAAAUAUGUUAACAAAAUGGAUAUAAAUUCUAUUUAUGGCCAGGAGUCUGCUUUGGGGAACCCCACCCUCACUCACAGCCCAGACUGAGAUCCAUUAAGGAACCUGACCUGCAGGGGCUUGUGUUUCUGCUACUUCCCCAUGGACUAAAGGAUAGUGCUGUUCACUGUAGUAAGACAAAUAUAUUUCCUGUUAAUUUUUUUUACUGUAAAUAAGAUGGCUUUUCUUAAAUGUAAAUAGGGAUGUUUCAUUUAUUUAAAUAAAAUUUUAGAAAUUGGCAUUGGAUAAAAAAGAAAGGUUUUGCAAAUGUGAGAGAUAAGGAAUUUCACAAAAUCGAAUCACUAGGUCCAGCAGUUUCUAAGCCAGAAAUAUGCAACAUCUUCUAUGUAACUUUUCUAACUACCCAUACCCAAAUGACACAAAUUGAUUUUAUUUCUUAAUUGUAUAUUGAGUUUACCAUCCAAUCUAAGGCAGACACUAUUUGUCACCUAUGUUACUGUUGUAUGUGUAACAUAUAUUGAUAAGGAAGAGAGAUUAUAUGAGUUACAAUUAGGUUUUUCUCAGUAUUAUUUCUCCAUGUCCCCAGCUUUCCUCCACAACAAAUAUUCACAAAAUUUUCUUUUGUAUCUUUCAAAAAUACCCCACGGAAAUACAAAUCAAGUUAUGCACAUGAAAGCAUAUUGAUACGUGUUUACGUUGUUUAUACAGGUUGUAGCGUAUUUUCUACAAUGUUCUCCAAUUUGUAUAUUUCACUUAAAAAUAUAUAUUAGAGAUAAUUUCAUGACAGUUCUUAUAGAACCAAUAUUUGGUUUAAUGGUAGCGUAGUAUUCUUCUGUAUAAACCUAAUGGCCAGGCGUGGUGGCUUAUGCCUGUAAUCCCAGCACUUUGGGAGGCCCAGGCGGGCGGAUCACGAGGUAAGGAGAUCGAGACCAUCCUGGCCAACAUGGCGAAAUACCGCCUCUACUAAAAAUACAAAAAUUAGCCAGGUGUGGUCGUGGGCACCUGUAAUCCCAACUACUUGGGAGGCUGAGGCAGGAGAAUUACUUGAACCCAGGAGGCGGAGGUUGCAGUGAGCUGAGAUCGCGCCACUUCACUCCAGCCUGGACGACAGGGUGAGACUCCGUCUAAAAAAAAAUAAAACAAACAAACAAAAACAAAACAAAACCUAACACAUUUGGUACAUUAUACAAUAGGAAGUUCUUGCUACAUUUUACAUAUACAUUAUACAAUGAAUAUCCCUUAUUAAUGAAUAUAUAUUUCCAAUUUUUUGGUUAUUAUAAAUAAACAUGUUCCAACGUAUAUUCAUAUUCAUACAAUUUUGGACACUCGGAGAGUAAAAUAAAUUCUUGGAAAUGGUUGUAUAUCUUUUACUCUUUGAUUUAUAUUGGCAAAAUGCUCUCCACAGAGGCUCUGUCAAUUUGCCCUCCCACCAAAAAUGUCCGAAGUUGUCUGUUUUUCUUCCUCCUUGUGAAUAGAAUAUGUAACCAAUUUGUAAAUCUCUAUCGAUGUGAUUGGUGAAAAACAACUUAGUCUAAUUUUCCAUUUCCCUUAUUGUAGGUUAGAUUAUGUAUAUUUUCACAAGUUUAAAAGCCCUUUGUUUUUCUUUUUAUGUGUACUAUUUAUGUCGUUUUGCCCAUUUAUAAUUGGGUCUUGUUGAUUUUUAGGAACAUUUAAAUAUAAAUUAAAAUCUGGUCUUUUUUGGAUAUAGAUGCUUGUUUGGACUUUUUUUUUUUAAAGGCUCUAUUCCAAUCAUUUUAUAAUUUGUAUGGAGUCAUAUUUAUACCUUUUGAUCUGUUAGAACUGUGUAACUUUCCUUCUCCUUAGUCUCUGCCGGCACCCAGCCCAAUGCUCAGCCAUAGAAGACACUACAUGAAUUUUAAAAAUUGAAAAAAAUUGUUUAAUUAAACUGUGAAGAUUUUUUGAAAUACAAAAAUCUAAUUUAUUUGUACUUAGUAUCUAUUAGAUUAUAAACUUUUUGAAGGAAGAAUUUAUUCUUUAGUCUUAUUUCCUAUUUUUCAAAUAAAAGUAUAGAUUGAAGUUUGGAUGAAAGCAUGAACAAGUUUGUGGAAGGCAGACAUUUUUAAAUGUUGAAAUUUAAAUUCGAUUUUUAAUAACGAUGUUGUCCAUGUUUCAUAAAUAGAAGUUAUUUAAAUAAUUUUAGUUUCAUUCAAAAAAUAGUUGAAAUGACUUCUACCAUCUCACAAAAGAACUAAGUUACCACUUACGGUGAAAAUUCAUGAAUUGAACAGAUCAGAUUAGAUUUACUAUUGACGGUUGAAUUAAAACAGUUUAGUUGAUAUUAAAUAAUUAUUUCAAAUAAUUAGCAUAUGUUGAAGACCACUUAAUACCCUAUCAUGUUUUCCAAAAUUUUAGGAUUUAGAAAGCCAUUUAUGCUGCACUUAAACAUCAAAACAAAUUUUGCCAUUAAAAAAAACAAAGCAUCUCAUCAUCCAUAAGCUGAGUUAAGGAUACCAACAGUGAAUCCCACAUAUGAAAGAGAUUCAAAUAUUUGCUAAAUUACUCAUAUUUUUAUUAAUUAUUUUCCUUUUUAAAAUUUAUCAACCCACUUAUCAACAAUAGCCAUUCUGACUGGUGUGAAAUGGUAUCUCAUUGUGGUUUUGAUUUGCAUUUCUCUAAUAAUUAGUGAUGUUGAGUAUUUAUUCAUAUGCUUUUGGCAGUAUGUCUACUUUUGAAAUGUUUUUAUUCAUGUUCUUUGACCAUUUUUUUAAAUGAGGUUGUUUGUUUUUUGCUUGUUGAUUUGUUUAUGUUCCUUAUAAAUUCUGUAUAUUAGGGCUUUGUCAGAGGCAUGUUUUGCAAAUGUUUUCUCCCAUUCUGUACAUUGUCAGUUUACUCUGUUGAUAGUUUUGCUUGCUUGCUUUGUUUGUUUUGCUUUAUAGAAGCUCUUUAGUUUAAAUAGGUCCCACUUGUCUAUUUUUGGUUUUGUUGUAAUAGCUUUUGGAAACUUCAUCAUGAAAUCUUUGCCAAGGCCUAGGUCUGGAUUGGUAUUUCCUAGAUUUUCUUCUAGAGUUUUUAUCGUUUUAGAUAUUAUAUUUAAGUUGUUAAUCCCUCUUGAGUUGAUUUUUGUGUGUGCUGAAAGGAAGGGGUCUAGUUUCAAUCCUCUGCAUAUGGCUAGCCAGCUAUACCAGAGCCAUUUAUUGAGCAAGGAGUUCUUUCCCCAUUGGUUGUUAUUGUUGACUUUGUCAAAAAUCAGAUGGUUGUAGGUGUUUAGCUUUAUUUCUGGGUUCUCUAACCUGUUCCAUUGGUCUGUAUGUCUGUUUUUGCACCAGUACACUGCAAUUUUUGUUACUGUAGCUUCGUAGUAUAGUUUAAAGUCAGGUGGUAUGAUGCCUCUGGCUUUGUUUUUUUUUUUCUUCAGAUUACAUUGGCUACCUGGACUCUUCUGUGGUUCCAUAUGGAUUUUAUAAUAGUUUCUUCUAAUUCUAUGAAAAAUGAUAUUGGUAGUUUGAUAAGAACAGCAUUGAAUCUGUAAACUGCUUUGGGCAGUGUGACCAUUUUAAAAAUAUUGAUUCCUCCUAUCCAUGGGCAUGACAUGUUUUUUCAUUUGUCUGUGUCAUGUCUGAUUUCUUUCAGCAGUGUUUUGUAAUUCUCACUGUAGAAAUUUUUCACUACCCUGGUUAGCUGUAUUCCUAGGUAUUUUAUCUUAUUUUUGGCUAUUGUGAAUGGGAUUGAGUUAUUGAUUUGGCUUGAUUUGAUUCUCAGUUUGGACAGUAUUGUAGUAUAGAAAUGCUACUGAUUUCUAUACAUUACUUUUGUAUCCUGAAACUUUACAGAACGUGUUUAUCAGGUCUAGGAGCCUUUGGUCAGAGACUGUGGGGUUUUCUAAGUAUAGAAUCAUAUUAUCAAUUAUGGAGAUAGUUUGACUUCCUCUCUUUCUAUUUGAAUGGCUUUUAUUGGUUUGUCUUGCCUGAUUGCUCUGGCCAGGAUUUCCAGUACUAUGUUGAAUAGGAGUGGUGGGAGUGGGCAUUUUUGUCUUGUUGCAGUUCACAAGUGGCAUACUUCCAGCUUUUGCCCAUUCAGUAUGCUGUUGGCUGUGGGCUUGUCAUAAAUGGCUCUUAUUAUUUUUAGGUAUGUUCCUUCAAUGCCUAGUUUGCUGAGGGUGUUUAAUAUGAAGGAUGUUGAAUUUUAUUGAAAGCCCUUUCUGCAUCCAUUGAGAUGAUCAUGUAUGUUUUGUUUUUUGUUCUGUUUAUAUGAGUUACAUUUAUUAAUAUUAAUUUGCAUAUAUUGAACCAACCUUGCAUUCCAGGAAUAAAGUCUAUUUAAUCAUGGUGUUAGAUUUUUGAUGUGCUUUUAAUCAUGAUUAAUAAAGUCUAUUUAAUCAUGAGUUUAACUUUUCAAUUUGCUAGUAUUUUGUUAAGGAGUUUUGUGUCUAUAAUGUUUGUUUAUGCCUAAAGUUUUCUUUUUUCAUUGUGUCUCUGCUAGGUUUUGGUAUCAGGAUGAUACCGGCAUCAUACAACGUGUUAGGGAGGAGACCCUGCUCCUCGAUUUUUUGGGAUGAUUUCAGCAAGAUUUGUACUAGUUGUGAAUCCAUUUGGUACAGAGUUUUUUCUAGUUUAUAGGGUUUUUUUUUUAAUUACUGAUUCCAUUUAGAACUCAUUAUGGUCUAUUUAGGUAUUCAGUUUCUCCCUGGUUCAAUCUUGGGAGGUUAAAGGUUUCCAGGAAUUUAUCCAUUUCUUCUAGUGCUUCUAGUUUCUGUGCACAUAAAUGUUUGUAAUAGACUCUGAGGGUUUUUUUUUUUUUUUUGUAUUUUUGUGGGCUUGGUGGUAAUGUCAUCUUUGUCAUUUCAGAUUGUGUAUAUUGGGAUACUAUCUUUUUAUUACUCUGGCUACUAUCUAUCAAUCUUAUUUAUUCUUUCAAAAAACCAUUUUUCCAUGAAUUUUCACAUCUCAAUUUUGUUCCAUUCAGCUCCGAUUUUGGUUAUUUCUUUUCUUCUGCUAGCUUUGGGACUGGUUCACUCUUGUUUUCCUAAUUCCUCUAGAUGUGAUGUUAGUUGUUAAUUUGAGAUCUUUCUAACUUUUUGAUCUAAGCAUUUAGGACCAUAAAUGUUUGUCUUAACACUGCUUUAAUUGAGUCUGCAAGAUACUGGUAUGCUGUAUUUUUAUUUUUAGUAGUUUCAAAUAAUUUCUUGAUUUCUCAAAUGUCUAUGGGGAUCAUGGGGUCUCCUGCAGCUGGGAUUCUGGAAAUCCAUUGGUGAGAGUGAGUCACUCCACACCUAUUUCACUUACUCCUUCCUUGGGAGCCACUUGGGCCAAGAAAUGAGUCCUGGUGCUUGGAAACCCCAUGUGUUUUUUCCAGCUUUCUACUCUUCCAGCCCUGGGUCUGCAUCCUUCCUCUUUCCACACUCAAUGCCAUCUUUCUGAAAAUCUGUUUGGAGUGUGCCAGUCUACUGAUGAUCUGGUCUUUCUAGGUGAGAAAAGCUCUUCUUGGCUGUGCCUAUUCAGCCAUCUUGGCUCUUCCUAAAUUUGGAUAAUCUACAAAUCACAGAUUUUUUGAACUAAUCUAAGAUUCUGAGGCUACUGGACAAUCAGUCUUAAGUCUAAGGAAACAUGGGUGCUUUCCAAGAGAGAUAGGACAUGAGCACUGGUUCAUCUGCACAAAAGUAUAAAGGAAAGACACAUAGGGUACAAGCAAAUUGGUAAAAAAAAAAAAAAAAAAAAAAGCUAAAUAUUUUAACACAUUUCUAAAUGUUAAUUGUUGUUUAGUAUGAAAGUACAGAAUUGUAGCCACAGACACAAAGAAAGAUUGCACCUAAUCUUUUGUCCAUGUACCUCUCCAGGUGCUUACAAGAAAGGUUUAGGAUACCAGAGACAGCUCCUGCUUAAUGCAAGCAUUGGGGAGAAAUUUACCAACCACUGUGAGAAAGGCACAAUGAACUUGUGUAUCAUUAUUGCCUUUUUGGCACAAAGUCCCAACUAGAUCAUUCUUGUCUGUCUACACAUUGAAAAAAAAAAGCCUUGCACCACUGAAAGAGGGACACAAUAUAUUAUAUCUUUCAGGAAAUACAUGGAAAUCCAUUGUAGUGUGGGAAAAUAAAGAGAAAAAAAGCACUUGAUGUUGGGACAAAGUAGGACAUUAGAAGUCCUCUACCACAGUGGAGGCAGGAUCACUGAAAAAGACCUAAGACCUGGGAAUAUAGGGUUUGCCUAAGACUGAUGCUAAAGCAGAACAAGAGAAAAGCCUCUCCAUUCCCCAGCACCAUACUACCAAGUAAUGUGUGUUAAGUAAUAUCAGUCUACUGCUGAAAGAGAGGCAACAACACAGAGAGAGGUCUUCUCUGAUUAGUAAGGCUAUAAAAAAAUAUAGAACUAAAGACAGAACAGAAUCGUUGAGGAAAUCUCCCUGAAACUAAGGUCCUGUCAUAAGCUCAAAGAAAAGCUAGAAAACAUUUAAACCAAUGGUGUCCCCAAAUCAUUGCAACAGCAAAACCUAAAUCUUGCUCAAACCCUGACUAGAUUAACUCAAUCUGCCAGGCUAAAAGUCUAGCAUAAAGAGACAUGUUCAUUUCACACAUAAGCAAUAUUUAUUUUCAUCUAUAUUGUCUCAGACACAAUGUCCAGUAUCUAUCAAAAAAUUACAGAACAAUGAAGUGAGAAAAACAAUAUGCUGGCAAGAUAUAUUGGAAUCAAUAAAACCAGGUCCAUAUAUGAUCCAAAUAUGGAACUAUGGAACUAUGAAACAGAAAAUUUAAAAUAACUAAAAUUACUGUAUUUAAAAACUUUUUUUAAAAAAAGUGGAUAGCAUGCACAUACUAGAGUUGAGAAAAAAAUUAUAAAAACAGAUUUUAUUUAUUUAUUUAUUUAUUUUGAGAUGGAGUUUCGCUCUUGUUGCUGAGGCUGGAGUACAAUGGCACGAUCUCGGGUCACCACAACCUCUACCUCCCAGGUUCAAACGAUUCUCCUGCCUCAGUCUCCCAAGUAGCUGAGAUUACAGGCAUGCGCCACCAAGCCUGGCUAAUUUUGUAUUUUUAGUAGAGAUGGGGUUUCUCCAUGUUGGUCAGGCUGGUCUCAAACUCACAACCUCAAGUGAUCUGCUCACCUCAGCCUCCCAAAGUGCUGGGAUUACAGGCGUGAGCCACUGUGCCUGGCCAAAAACAGAUUUUAAAUUUCAUCAGAAUGAUGAAAACUGUAAGGAAGAAAGAGAAAUGAUGGAUAUAUGAAACAUAGUAGUUGAAAUAAGAAAAAUGCCUUUGACAAAGAAAGAAGAAUUGGUAAAUAUGAAGAUAGUUCAAUAGAAAGAAACUAGGCUAAAUCACAAAGAGCAAAAAGAAAAGACUAAUGCAUGCAAGACCUUAGGGACGACAUUAAUCAGUCUAACAUAGGUGUAAUAGGAGUCACAAAAGAAGAAGAGAAGCAAAACAUGGAAGGGAAAUACUGUAAGUUAGUGGCUGAGAAUUUUUCAAAAAAUAAUGAAAGAUGUGAAACCACAGAUCAAAGAAAUUCAUAGAGAACCAAGCAGAAU